AGGGGCAUAUGGAAAAUCUCUGUAGCUUCCUUUCAAUUUUGCUAUGAACCUAAAACUGAUCUUAAAAAAUGUGAAGUCUUUAAAUAUAUGUAUGUAUAUACAGAUUUCUGAGGCUCACCAGAACCAGGAAAUCAGACACUCCAGCAGUGAGAAUGAAGAAUCUGCACUUUUAAGCAGCUCUCCAGCCUUCAAUUUCCUAAUAGAUGAGACAGAUGAACCCAAAGAAACUCAGACUUAAGCAGACAGAGCCUGAAAAAAGAAAAUACAUGCAAAAAAAUACCGUCUUGGAGUACCUGGCUGG